GUUAGAGUGUAGGGGCGGCAGGUAGCCUAGUGGUUAGAGUGUAGGGGCGGCAGGUAGCCUAGUGGUUAGAGUGUAGGGACGGCAAGUAGCCUAGUGGUUAGAGUGUAGGGACGGCAGGUAGCCUAGUGGUUAGAGUGUAGGGGCAGGCAGGUAGCCUAGUGGUUAGAGUGUAGGGACGGCAGGUAGCCUAGUGGUUAGAGUGUAGGGGCAGGCAGGUAGCCUAGUGGUUAGAGUGUAGGGGCGGCAGGUAGCCUAGUGGUUAGAGUGUAGGGACGGCAGGUAGCCUAGUGGUUAGAGUGUAGGGGCAGGCAGGUAGCCUAGUGGUUAGAGUGUAGGGACGGCAGGUAGCCUAGUGGUUAGAGUGUAGGGGCGGCAGGUAGCCUAGUGGUUAGAGUGUAGGGGCGGCAGGUAGCCUAGUGGUUAGAGUGUAGGGACGGCAGGUAGCCUAGUGGUUAGAGUGUAGGGGCGGCAGGUAGCCUAGUGGUUAGAGUGUAGGGGCGGCAGGUAGCCUAGUGGUUAGAGUGUAGGGGCGGCAGGUAACCUAGUGGUUAGAGUGUAGGGACGGCAGGUAGCCUAGUGGUUAGAGUGUAGGGGCGGCAGGUAACCUAGUGGUUAGAGUGUAGGGGCGGCAGGUAGCCUAGUGGUUAGAGUGUAGGGGCGGCAGGUAGCCUAGUGGUUAGAGUGUAGGGGCGGCAGGUAGCCUAGUGGUUAGAGUGUAGGGGCGGCAGGUAGCCUAGUGGUUAGAGUGUAGGGGCGGCAGGUAGCCUAGUGGUUAGAGUGUAGGGGCGGCAGGUAGCCUAGUGGUUAGAGUGUAGGGGCGGCAGGUAGCCUAGUGGUUAGAGUGUAGGGGCGGCAGGUAGCCUAGUGGUUAGAGUGUAGGGGCGGCAGGUAGCCUAGUGGUUAGAGUGUAGGGGCGGCAGGUAGCCUAGUGAUUUAGAGCGUUGGACUAGUAACCGAAAGGUUGCAAGAUUGAAUCCCCGAGCUGACAAGGUAAAAAAUCUGUCUUUCUGCCCCUGAACAAGGCAGUUAACCCACUGUUCCUAGGCCAUCAUUGAAAAUAAUAAUUUGUUCUUAACUGACUUGCCUAGUAAAAUAAAACAGGCAAAGCAGGGACAUAAAUGGUAGUUUUAAAAGGGAUUGAUUAGAAAAACAACAAAUGUGAAAUACAGCCGUUGUCUGUUUUUUGUCUAAGUACGAUUACAAGCCAAAUCCCUUAUCUGGAUUUAAAAUGGCUGACAUCUGCUCCAGAACUAAUUUCCCACCCACUAGCAGCAAGCAGCAGUUGUCCUAAUAUACAGCCAGGACAGGGCCUUGUUUUCACCCAGCUGUUGUCCUGUUACAGGCUGGAAGUAUAAGGUUCAGGAAUGACCAAGCAGUACAUAGCUUGUUGUGGUCUAGUAGCAACACUCCCAGCACAAGAACAUAGUGUAUAUUCCAAGCCUGGAGACAGUGGUUGGAAUCCUGCAUCCUCCCUUCCUACUGUUCCUAGCUGUUCUCUAGCUGCCCCUUUGAUUUGGGAUGUGUGUACAGUUUAAACAAUACUGAAAGAUUAGUGGAACUUUAUUCACCCAGCAGUAUGUUGUC